rnacentral:lncRNA from 1 species
UUUUAACUGACAAGAGAGCCAGAGAAAAAUAGGAGCUCAUCUGAAAGAAAAGCUGUCCAGUGCCGACGAAAUGGCUUUGUGCGUGCUUUCUGUGUCAAGUGGGCAGGUGUGAAUUAUGUUAUUGUUGGGUACAUGUACAGUUCGUUGCUUCACACGGCACACGCAUAGGCUUAUUAUUUACCAAUGUUUGUCGGCUCACACGUCAUCCACAAUGUACACGUACAGUUGCUCCUAGUACUUUGAAAAGUCACAACGUUUCUAGAUACAACCAAGUUUACGUAAAAUUAUAUCAACAUCUACAAUAUCAACAACAGGUAUGGCGAUCAACACGACCUGUUCUAUC